rnacentral:rRNA from 1 species
GUUGUUGGGUAGGGGAGCGUUCUGUAAGCCUGUGAAGGUGGCCUGUGAGGGUUGCUGGAGGUAUCAGAAGUGCGAAUGCUGACAUAAGUAACGAUAAAGCGGGUGAAAAGCCCGCUCGCCGGAAGACCAAGGGUUCCUGUCCAACGUUAAUCGGGGCAGGGUGAGUCGACCCCUAAGGCGAGGCCGAAAGGCGUAGUCGAUGGGAAACGGGUUAAUAUUCCCGUACUUGGUGUUACUGCGAAGGGGGGACGGAGAAGGCUAUGUUGGCCGGGCGACGGUUGUCCCGGUUUAAGCGUGUAGGUGUGUGUUCCAGGUAAAUCCGGUUCACUUUAACACUGAGGCGUGACGACGAGGCACUACGGUGCUGAAGCAACAAAUGCCCUGCUUCCAGGAAAAGCCUCUAAGCAUCAGGUAACAUCAAAUCGUACCCCAAACCGACACAGGUGGUCAGGUAGAGAAUACCAAGGCGCUUGAGAGAACUCGGGUGAAGGAACUAGGCAAAAUGGUGCCGUAACUUCGGGAGAAGGCACGCUGACAUGUAGGUGAAGUGAUUUACUCAUGGAGCUGAAGUCAGUCGAAGAUACCAGCUGGCUGCAACUGUUUAUUAAAAACACAGCACUGUGCAAACACGAAAGUGGACGUAUACGGUGUGACGCCUGCCCGGUGCCGGAAGGUUAAUUGAUGGGGUCAGCGCAAGCGAAGCUCCUGAUCGAAGCCCCGGUAAACGGCGGCCGUAACUAUAACGGUCCUAAGGUAGCGAAAUUCCUUGUCGGGUAAGUUCCGACCUGCACGAAUGGCGUAAUGAUGGCCAGGCUGUCUCCACCCGAGACUCAGUGAAAUUGAACUCGCUGUGAAGAUGCAGUGUACCCGCGGCAAGACGGAAAGACCCCGUGAACCUUUACUAUAGCUUGACACUGAACAUUGAGCCUUGAUGUGUAGGAUAGGUGGGAGGCUUUGAAGUGUGGACGCCAGUCUGCAUGGAGCCGACCUUGAAAUACCACCCUUUAAUGUUUGAUGUUCUAACGUGGACCCGUUACCCGGGUUGCGGACAGUGUCUGGUGGGUAGUUUGACUGGGGCGGUCUCCUCCUAAAGAGUAACGGAGGAGCACGAAGGUUGGCUAAUCCUGGUCGGACAUCAGGAGGUUAGUGCAAUGGCAUAAGCCAGCUUGACUGCGAGCGUGACGGCGCGAGCAGGUGCGAAAGCAGGUCAUAGUGAUCCGGUGGUUCUGAAUGGAAGGGCCAUCGCUCAACGGAUAAAAGGUACUCCGGGGAUAACAGGCUGAUACCGCCCAAGAGUUCAUAUCGACGGCGGUGUUUGGCACCUCGAUGUCGGCUCAUCACAUCCUGGGGCUGAAGUAGGUCCCAAGGGUAUGGCUGUUCGCCAUUUAAAGUGGUACGCGAGCUGGGUUUAGAACGUCGUGAGACAGUUCGGUCCCUAUCUGCCGUGGGCGCUGGAGAACUGAGGGGGGCUGCUCCUAGUACGAGAGGACCGGAGUGGACGCAUCACUGGUGUUCGGGUUGUCAUGCCAAUGGCACUGCCCGGUAGCUAAAUGCGGAAGAGAUAAGUGCUGAAAGCAUCUAAGCACGAAACUUGCCCCGAGAUGAGUUCUCCCUGAGACUUAGAGUCUCCUGAAGGAACGUUGAAGACGACGACGUUGAUAGGCCGGGUGUGUAAGCGCAGCGAUGCGUUGAGCUAACCGGUACUAAUGAACCGUGAGGCUUAACCUUACAACGCCGAAG